AUUGAACGCUGGCGGCAGGCCUAACACAUGCAAGUCGAGCGGAUGAAGGGAGCUUGCUCCUGGAUUCAGCGACGGACGGGUGAGUAAUGCCUAGGAAUCUGCCUGGUAGUGGGGGAUAACGUCCGGAAACGGGCGCUAAUACCGCAUACGUCCUGAGGGAGUAAGUGGGGGAUCUUCGGACCUCACGCUAUCAGAUGAGCCUAGGUCGGAUUAGCUAGUUGGUGGGGUAAAGGCCUACCAAGGCGACGAUCCGUAACUGGUCUGAGAGGAUGAUCAGUCAGACGGGAACUGAGACACGGUCCAGACUCCUACGGGAGGCAGCAGUGGGGAAUAUUGGACAAUGGGCGAAAGCCUGAUCCAGCCAUGACGCGUGUGUGAAGAAGGUCUUCGGAUUGUAAAGCACUUUAAGUUGGGAGGAAGGGCAGUAAGUUAAUACCUUGCUGUUUAGACGUUACCAACAGAAUACGCACCGGCUAACUUCGUG
rnacentral:rRNA from 1 species